ACCCUACUUCCUCCGUCCAACAAAAGAUGUUUUAAGUUUGUCAAAAUUUGGAUGUAUUUAGACAUGACUUAGUGUAUACAUCCAUUCAAAUUUAGUUAAAAUUGAGACAUCUUUUUGUUUGACGGAGAAAAUAGUAA
rnacentral:pre_miRNA from 1 species